rnacentral:tRNA from 1 species
UGGGGUGUAGCCAAGGGGGUAAGGCACGGGACUUUGACUCCCGCAGUCGCAGGUUCAAAUCCUGCCAUCCCAGCCA